AGCGAACGCUGGCGGCAGGCUUAACACAUGCAAGUCGAGCGGGCAUCCUUGUGGUGUCAGCUGCAGACGGGUGAGUAACGCGUGGGAACGUGCCCUUCGGUUCUGCAUAACUCAGGGAAACUUGAGCUAAUACCGGAUACGCCCUUUUGGGGAAAGGUUUACUGCCGAAGGAUCGGCCCGCGUCUGAUUAGCUAGUUGGUGAGGUUAUGGCUCACCAAGGCGACGAUCAGUAGCUGGUCUGAGAGGAUGAUCAGCCACACUGGGACGGAGACACGGCCCAGACUCCUACGGGAGGCAGCAGUGGGGAAUAUUGGAAAAUGGGGGCAACCCUGAUCCAGCCAUGCCGCGUGAGUGAUGACGGCCUUAGGGUUGUAAAGCUCUUUUCUCCGGGACGAUAAUGACGGUACCGGAGGAAUAAGCCCCGGCUAACUUCGUG
rnacentral:rRNA from 1 species